AGGGAAGUCAUUCUCAUUUUGCACCAAAGUUCCGAUCCCUGGCUUCCCUGCUCCUCCGCGCGCUCCAUGGCAAACAGGGUUUGAUUGAACGCAUCAUCUUACAACUCGUAGCAGUACUCGCUCCCGUCGAAUUCACGGCUAAACUCUGAGUUGGCAUAGUUACCAAGGGAAAUAACUUUAGCUUGGAAACAGUUGUGUACUCAGAAAUGGGCGACAGACAUAUGCAACCUAAUGUCCUAGAGCAAAUACUCGAUGGAAGCAUGAAGCCUAUGGAUCUACGUUUAGCUCUUCUAGAGAACAUCACGGACAAUUUCUCUGUAGAGCGAAAAAUUGGCGUCGGUGGAUUUGGGACUGUUUACAAGGGUGUUCUACGAAACGGGAAUGUUGCUGUGAAGAUGAUGAACAGCCACUCAAUCGAUGAGAAGCCAUUUCGUCGUGAGGUCAAUAGUCUCAUGAAAGUUAACCAUAUAAAUACAGUUCGGUUCCUUGGCUUCUGUUCUAACACAGAGCAUAAAGCUAUACAAAUUAGCGGAUCGGAAGAAUAUAUUUUUGCCGAGAUAAGACAGCGAUUGCUCUGUUUUGAGUAUAUCAGCAAUGGAGGCCUUGAUAAACAUAUUACGGAUGAAUUGAGGGGACUUGAAUGGAGCACAAGGUUUGACAUAAUUAAAGGAAUCUGUGAGGGCUUGCAACACCUUCACAAGGAAAAUGGCAUAAUACAUAUGGACCUCAAGCCAACCAAUAUACUACUAGAUGAUAAAAUGGUACCAAAAAUCACUGAUUUUGGCCUUUCGAGACUCGAAGAAAACUCAUAAACUAUGAGUACGCACCCUUUUUUAUCACUAGGAUAUUGUGCUCCAGAAUACCAAUUCGAUGGUAGGAUGUCACUCAAGUCGGACAUGUACAGUUUGGGCAUCAUUAUCAUUGAAUUGGUGACGGAAGAAAAGGAGUUCCUGAUAACAAAAAGAGAGA